CUCUGUAUAUUUCCACGAUCCUUACAGGACUGUAUGGUAUGAGGGACUGCUGGAUCUUGCAAACCUAGGUCCACACACCUGGGUUUAUGUAUAAGGAGGAUA